CUAUUUCCAUUAUUCAUUUUGCAUUUAAGAGUUGGAAUUGCACUGUAAGGAAGAAGUGUCCCUUCUUCCCCAUUUAUCUGUUUGUUUGUUUGUUUGUUUGUUUUAAGUUACUAUUUAUAUCAGCAUGAACUCACGGAUAUUUAUUUUAUUCUACAGAUUAUCACUAUCAUUGCUUUCUUGCUCAAAUUAUCCCUGAUUUGGCCACUGGGGGCUCCUUCAGCUCAGUUCCUAUAUCCUGUCCACAGGCUUUUACUAUUAUCCAGGCUUACCUUGUAUUUCCCCUGUCCCAGCCCUGGAAUCAGUCAUCUCUCCGAGGAGCCCCAGAUCCUUUUGUUGGAGAGUGGUGUUAGAAGCCAAGAUCUGGGUGUUAGGGGUGCAUGCAGCUCCUGGGGUGUCGCUGCCUCUGGGCUCCUCAUCUGCUUUCUCUUUCUAACUUUUGCCCCCACCAGCCUGCCGGCUUCACAAGGAUAGUUCUGUGUCUCUCCCGUUCACUGCUGAUUCCCCAGUGUCAACCCCCAAACUCCUCAAAGCAAACAGAAGGAUGGAAUCCUUACUACUGAGAGGAGCAAGAGGCCUCACAUGAAAAAUAAGCCAAACCAGAACCCAGACGUGGUUCUGCACCCCCAAGGAAAGGCUCCGGCCAGCUUAGUGCCAUGUCCAAUAGAAAGGGGAUGCCAGCCACGAACGCAAGCCACACAUAUGACUUUAAAUGUUAGCCACAUCAAAAAAAAGUAAAAAUAACACAUCUCAGUUUGGACCUGCCACAUUGCAAGUGCUCAUUGACCACCCGUGGCUGGCGGCUGCAAUAUCGACAUCAGGGAUCUAGCUCACGAAUGGGGUGUGGAAAGUAACAAUGCCGGCGAGGAUGCGGAGAAGUUGGAACUCUCAGGAAUGUAAAAUGGUGCAGCCACUGUGGAAACUAGUGUGGCAGUUCCUUAAAAAGUUAAACAGAUUCACCACAGGACCCAGAAAUUCCACUCCCACAUAAUUACCCAGGAGAAUGGAAAGCAGCGACUCAAACAGAUUCACCAUUUGUACACCAGUGUUCAUCGCAGCAUUAUUCAAAAUAGCCAAAAGGUGGAAACAGGCCCGAGUCCAUUGACAGAUGAAUGGACAAUGAAAUGUGAUCCAUCUACAGAAUAUUAUCCAACCAGAAGGAAUCUCAUUCUGAUCCAUGCAACGACAAUGGAUGAACUUUGAAGACAUCAGUUGAGUGAAACAAGCCAACUGCUAAAGGACAAAUAUUGUAGACUCCAUUUAUACAAGCAAAUCAAUAAGGACAGAGAGUAGAGUCUGGGUAACCGGGAGCUGGGUGGAGAUGGGAAAUGGGUCAGUACUGCUUUACGUGACAGCGUUUCUGUUUGGGGUGAAGAAAAAGUCUUGGUAAUGGAUGCUGGUGAUGAUAGCUCAACAUCGUGAAUGUAAUUAACACCACUGAA